GUUACAAGUGGCCUAGUGGUUAGAGCGUCCGCCUCGGAUGCAGGUGGUCGUGAGUUCAAGCCCAGGCCUAAUCA